rnacentral:rRNA from 1 species
AGCAGCCGCGGUAAUUCCAGCUCCAAUAGCGUAUAUUAAAGUUGUUGCAGUUAAAAAGCUCGUAGUUGAAUUUCGGGAUCGAUGCGUCGGUCGUGCCUUCGGUACGUACUGGCGUCAUCGAUUCCUCCCUUCUUGAAGAACCGUGAUGUCAUUAAUUUGGUGUUACGGGGAAUCAGGACUGUUACCUUGAAAAAUUAGAGUGUUUAAAGCAGGCUAACGCUUGAAUACAUUAGCAUGGAAUAAUGAAAUAGGACGUUCGAACCUAUUUUGUUGGUUUCUAGGAUCGACGUAAUGAUUAAUAGGGAUAGUUGGGGGCAUUAGUAUUCAAUUGUCAGAGGUGAAAUUCUUGGAUUUAUUGAAGACUAACUACUGCGAAAGCAUUUGCCAAGGAUGUUUUCAUUAAUCAAGAACGAAAGUUAGGGGAUCGAAGACGAUCAGAUACCGUCGUAG